AUAGCCGCAUCUGGGAGACUCAAUUUUUCUCUUUGUCCACUAAACAGCUAAAACCCCCAGGUAGCAACAGAGUAGACUUCUAUUAAUUACCCUGCAAUCUGCAUCAUCUCUGGUCUAGGAGACCACCGUUAAGGGUGGGAGGGUAGUUCAGUCUCCAUGGCCCAUCCAAAUUUUUGCUUCU
rnacentral:sRNA from 1 species